GCCAUCAUGGCUCAAUGGUUGAGCAUCGACCUGUGAACCAGGAGGUCAGGGUUCGAUUCCCAGUCAGGGCA
rfam:Myotis davidii contig98961, whole genome shotgun sequence.